AUCAAUGUAGGUCCAUCAGUUGUAACAAAGCGGGCAGGACAAGAAGAAAAGGUGAAGAAGGUGUGGUGUGAGAUGGUGCAGGAGAGGUUGGCUAAUUCUAUUCCAGCAGCUAACCCGUAAUCACUACAUGACAAGGGAAGCUGAGGCCCAGAGGACUGAGACAACUUGUGCGUAAUCACCUUUUUCAGAUUCACAAUCAUGAAAGUAUCAUGAAGAAUUUCAAAGGUUCACUCUCCACCCUUUUCCACCUGCUCUGUGUCCAGAGAGGCUGACCUGUGUGGACUGACAAAGAGGCCCUUGUCCUCUGGCUUACAACUGGGCCCGGACAAUGAGGCGCGACAGCAGGAGACAGAAGCGAGCACCAGUAGAGGGUAAGAGGAAUAUAGGAAGAAAUGAAGGAGGAAAAGAGCAAGUGAGAGAGAAUCAGAAGAAGAGCAAGAGUGACCAAGAGAGAGGGAAGAGAUUAAGAAAAAGCGAUCGGGACAUACAAGUAUGUUUUAUGCAAUCUUGAAAGGAGACGCUUGGAUCACUGGCAGAAGAUGGGUUUCUAACUUACAGCCACUUUAUAAAUUCUGAUUCUUCUCACAGAAGAAUAAUUUUAAGCCCAUGUGGGGCUAGGCAAUUUUGUUUUAGAAUUUAACUUUAGAGCUAAUAAUUUUAAUACACAAAAAUUAUUAUUAAUAACUCUUAUGGUAUCCUGACAAUGUGUUAGACACUGAAUUCUCAAGUAGAUUAAGAGGAAACAUUUCUUAUUAGUAUGAAACAAC
rnacentral:lncRNA from 1 species